UACCAGCACCCCGAGUGGUCGGGACGCUUAUUGGGCCUAAAGCAUCCGUAGCCGGCCUUACAAGUCCUCCGUUAAAUCCAGCUGCUUAACAGAUGGGCUGCGGAGGAUACUUUAAGACUAGGAGGCAGGAGAGGCAAGCGGUACUCAGUGGGUAGGGGUAAAAUCCGUUGAUCCAUUGAAGACCACAGUGGCGAAGGCGGCUGGCCAGAAUGCGCUCGACGGUGAGGGAUGAAAGCUGGGGGAGCAAACCGG
rnacentral:rRNA from 1 species